AACUGCAAUAUUUACCUUGCAGGGUUAACUCCUCCUCUAGUGGUGUCGCUGAAACGCCCAUAGGAAAGCAUUUUUCAAUGCUUUCCUAUGGGGAGGUCUAAUGUGCAUGUGCAGCAUUGCAGCGCAUGCGCAUUAGGUCUCACCCCGCCGGCGGCAGUGCAUGCGCAAUUGGUCUCCCCCUGGGAUGAGGGGUGGGACAUGGUUUGUUCUCCUGGCACUGGAGUGUCCCUUUAAUUACAGUUACAUUGCUGAGAGGGAGGUUAAACUGUGUUUUCACAGUUAUAGUGACAGGAAUGCAAACAUGUAUUCCUAUCACUAUAGUGUUCCUUUAAAGCUGAGCUGCACAUGUUUUUUUUUUUCCUCUAUGUGCUUAAGUGACCCAACCCUCACUUUUAAAAGACUUUAAAAGCAUAGCUGCCACUGGUGGGGGGGUGUAGCAAAAGCACAUGGAGGAAAAAAAUAAGUUUUAAUAAAACAUGGCAUAAAGAAAAUUAUUUUUUAGUGCACUUACCGUUUCUUCACCACGUCCUCGGUGCGGUUGUUCCCUCCAACAGCAUUCACCGCUGCCACAAUCUUCCUCCGCCAAUUUUCCUUCUGUGCUCUUGAACUCUUUUUGGCUGCUCCCCCAAAUAUACAUUGGUAGUACUGGCAAAGCUUGUUUACCAGUACUGUGUUCUCCUCUGCACAAAAGCUAUCUGCGUAUUUAUUCUUCCUCCCAGGAUCUGCUCUUUUUAAGAUCCUGGGCUGCCUCUGCUUCUGCUUGCUUCUCCCACUUGCUUCUCCUACCUCCUGGCCAGAGUGGCCAAUGCCCCCCUCCACUACAUCCAUGACUAUGUCGCUUGAGGAGCUGGAGGAGGACAUGACCACUUCUGGCAGGCUCAGUGUCCAAGUGCCUAAAAUGGCUGACAGGGUGGUGGGCUGGCUGAGCUCCAAAAUGGCUGAAUGGCUGGCCUAUAGAAAAUCUGGAUAGAUUUUGCAUUGAAGGACUGCCUUGAGUUGAUACUUUUUUUUUCUACAGUUUUGUCUGGUAGUAUGUAAAAGCCUAUUUAAUUGGCUACUACUUUCCCACUCCCUUAUAAAAUGAUACUGUGUUGCCAGUACCACCUGUCAGGGAAGCAUGAUGAUUCAUGAGCCCAAGAAACUAAGCAAAAGCAAUGCAUUGCAUUUGCAAUGUCAUUCGACAUGCGAAUGACUAUUGUAAGUGGUGUUCGGUAGUUUACUAAUAGUGCCAAUACAUUUUCAUGCGAACGGCAGUGUUCGUGCAUUUGACGGUUCGGGAAUUUGUUCAGGAGUUUUAGGCGUAAAUAGAUUAGAACAUUGUUCAAUGCCAUGUGUUGGGAGAUCAAUG